UACGGAGGGUGCAAGCGUUAUCCGGAUUCACUGGGUUUAAAGGGUGCGUAGGUGGGUUGGUAAGUCAGUGGUGAAAUCUUGCAGCUUAACUGUAAAAUUGCCAUUGAUACUGACGAUCUUGAGUACACUUGAAGUGGGCGGAAUAUGUCAUGUAGAGGUGAAAUUCUUAGAGAUGACAUAGAACACCGAUUGCGAAGGCAGCUCACUAAAUUGUAACUGACGCUGAGGCACGAAAGCGUGGGGAUCAAACAGG
rnacentral:rRNA from 1 species